rnacentral:rRNA from 1 species
AACGAAUGCUGGCGGCGUGGAUUAGGCAUGCAAGUCGAACGAAGAAUUUGAAGCUUGCUUCAAAGGACGAGUGGCGAAAGGGUGAGUAACGCGUGAGUAACCUGCCUUCAAGUUGGGGACAACACCUGGAAACGGGUGCUAAUACCGAAUGUGGAUAUCAAUCGCAUGAUUGAAUAUCUAAAGAUUUAUUGCUUGAAGAUGGGCUCGCGUAUCAUUAGCUAGUUGGUAAGGUAAUGGCUUACCAAGGCAACGAUGAUUAGCUGGUUUGAGAGGAUGAUCAGCCACACUGGGACUGAGACACUGCCCAGACUCCUACGGGAGGCUGCAGUCGAGAAUCUUCCGCAAUGCGCGAAAGCGUGACGGAGCGACGCCGCGUGUGGGAUGAAUGCCUUCGGGUUGUAAACCACUGUCACAGGGGACGAAGAACUGACGGUACCCUGAGAGGAAGCCACGGCUAACUACG